GGCUCUCAAGUCUCACGCAUUCACCGUGAGACUCACGCAUUUCAGUAAGUUCACACGCUCACACGCCACACCUUGUAUUUCUCACGCUGAAAAAAUAAGAAAACUUUUCCCACUCUAUACAAUUAAUGAACGAGGCACAGGAGAGAAGUUCUCUGCCGAGUUCAUAUCUGUCGAGCCGCGGACACGGUCACACUAGACAUCCUGAUAUAAUUGUCACCUACCAGCCAAUCAGAAAUCAGAAUUUGUUGUUUCUGGGUAAAUUUCGUGAUCCUGCUGCAAGCACAUUCGUUACUAGGCAACAUAGAUUCUCACGUCACACAGACGAAGUGGCAGUUGGAAGAGAAGAAUCCGAUGAAAGCGGUAGGUAACGCAUUCUUUUUUAUAGCAAUUUGAUUUUACGAUUCUUGGAUGACAUCACAAAAAUGUGAUCAAAGAUAAUAAAAACUGUUGUUGGGAAAUAUAGCCGAGGUAAAUUAUUAUUGAUUAAAAAAAUCGAACUGCUUUGCAAUCAGAAUUAGCUUUAACUUUAGGAAAGUACUAAACACUAGAGGCUACCUGAAACAAUCCCAGGUGAAAAAUAUUAUAGGAAAUACUAUAGUGUUUUUGAACCAUACUAAUAGUAUAGUAAAUUUUAGUAUAUUAUAGUAUUUACAACACUUUGUUAAUGAUUGCUACAGCAUACUCUGUAUUAACUAUAGUAGUGAACUGAUAAACUGUAAUAAAUACUCUAACGUUAGUAUUCUUUAGUUUAUACUACAGUAAUCUGUAGUGUAUAUUCUAGUAUAUUAUACCCUAUAGUUGUAGACAAUGUAGUACAGUAUUGGAUAAAGUAAUACGUUUAUAUUACUAUAGUUGUUAUGUUAUCACAGCAACUAUAGAAUUACCACAACAAAUUAAUUCAAGUACAUUACUAUAGUAUGGGUCAAAAACACUAUAGUAUUUACUAUAAAUUACUAUAGUAUUUUUUUCACCUGGGAAUGGAAAGGACAAGAUAUUUCAUUUUCAUUUAUUUCAUUAUUUUCAAAUUAUACUUUAUUCAUACUCUUUUUAGCUAUUCAGCUAUACUCUGGCUUUUAUUUUAGUAAUGUUUAUAUCCUGCCAAUGUAUACAUUAAUCAUUGCAUUUAUCUGUUUAAAAGAUGUCACACAAACACACCUUGUAUUGUAAGUAUGCUCAGGGCAAGUUCUGCAAUGUUGCUGUUCAGUUGGCUCAUUUGGGGCAAUUUUUUAUAUAUUUGUAUUUUUGAAAUAAAACAAUGUAUUUAAUUUC